rnacentral:ncRNA from 1 species
UACACAGGGGUGCUAAGCGUCUAUACGGCUUGGCUGAGAUUAUACCCUAGACCUGAUUCGGAUAAUGCCGACGUAGGGAGCUUGUUUAU